rnacentral:rRNA from 1 species
GACGAACGCUGGCGGCGUGCUUAACACAUGCAAGUCGAACGGAAAGGCCCUGCUUUUGUGGGGUGCUCGAGUGGCGAACGGGUGAGUAACACGUGAGUAACCUGCCCUUGACUUUGGGAUAACUUCAGGCAACUGGGGGUAAUACCGGAUAGGAGCUCCUGCUGUUUGGUGGGGGUGGGAAAGUUUCGGCGGUUGGGGAUGGACUCGCGGCUUAUUAGCUUGUUGGUGGGGUAGUGGCUUACCAAGGCUUUGACGGGUAGCACGCCUGAGAGGGUGACCGGCCACAUUGGGACUGAGAUACGGCCCAGACUCCUACGGGAGGCAGCAGUGGGGAAUAUUGCACAAUGGGCGGAAGCCUGAUGCAGCAACGCCGCGUGCGGGAUGACGGCCUUCGGGUUGUAAACCGCUUUCGCCUGUGACGAAGCGUGAGUGACGGUAAUGGGUAAAGAAGCACCGGCUAACUACGUG